GUGGGGAAUUUUGCGCAAUGGACGAAAGUCUGACGCAGCAACGCCGCGUGGGUGAUGAAGGUCUUCGGAUCGUAAAACCCUGUCGUCGGGGACGAAGGUGGGCUUGUUAAUAGCGAGUUUACUUGACGGUACCCGGAGAGGAAGCCCCGGCUAACUCUGUGCCAGCAGCCGCGGUAAUACAGAGGGGGCAAGCGUUAUUCGGAAUUAUUGGGCGUAAAGGGUGCGUAGGCGGUCGUUUAAGUAGGAUGUGUAAUCCCCGGGCUUAACCUGGGAACUGCAUCCUAGACUGGACGACUUGAGUACUGGAGAGGGUGGUAGAAUUCCACGUGUAGCGGUGAAAUGCGUAGAGAUGUGGAGGAAUACCAGUGGCGAAGGCGGCCACCUGGACAGUAACUGACGCUGAGGCACGAAAGUGUGGGUAGCAAACAGGAUUAGAAACCCGGGUAGUCC
rnacentral:rRNA from 1 species